rnacentral:tRNA from 1 species
GCCCAGGUGGCGGAACUGGCAGACGCGCUGGAUUUAGGUUCCAGUGCCGCAAGGCGUGGAGGUUCGAGUCCUCUCCUGGGCACCA